rnacentral:rRNA from 1 species
AGCGAACGCUGGCGGCAGGCCUAACACAUGCAAGUCGAACGAACUCUUCGGAGUUAGUGGCGGACGGGUGCGUAACACGUGGGAACGUGCCUUUAGGUUCGGAAUAACUCAGGGAAACUUGUGCUAAUACCGAAUGUGCCCCCGGGGGGAAAGAUUCAUCACCUUUAGGGCGCCCGGGGUCGGAUUAGCUGGUGGGUGGGGAAAAGGUUCACCAAGGGGACGACAAGUAGCUGGUCUGAGAGGAUGAUCAGCCACAUUGGGACUGAGACACGGCCCAAACUCCUACGGGAGGCAGCAGUGGGGAAUCUUGCGCAAUGGGCGAAAGCCUGACGCAGCCAUGCCGCGUGAAUGAUGAAGGUCUUAGGAUUGUAAAAUUCUUUCACCGGGGACGAUAAUGACGGUACCCGGAGAAGAAGCCCCGGCUAACUUCGUG